rnacentral:RNase_MRP_RNA from 2 species
UCCUCGUUCAAAGGAUCGCAGUCGAAGCACACAAACGGAGCAGACCUCGUGUCUCUCAGCUCUUCAUGGGCUAGUCAAUGCUUUGGGAGAAAGUCCCCGGACGACCUUUAUCUUGUAAAGGAACGCGGAAACGCGCCGCCAUAGAAGCACUGCGGCUUCUUUAUUUCUUCUCUUCUACCUAUUCUUGGGCCGGCCUUCGUCGUCGCUUGUACUCGCUUUCUGCGCUUUUGAUUGCUGCUGCUGGGGUGAUGGGGAGACCAUAUGGAUGAAGAUAUGAGUCCGAGCUCUCCUGAUCUCAGCUGUGGUAGAGCAUAUGCAACGACUGCGGGGAGGCGGGGAAGUUACCCUCGGUCUGAGUUGGGGGUUCUGGGAGGGGAGAGGCUUUCGUCGAGAGUGAUAGUUAUGCGAUUGCCCUCCUGGGCUGGCCUCACGGUCGGUCCAGGGGUGUAACUCGAUGGGGCUUAUUCUUGAGACGAGG